AGAGUUUGAUCCUGGCUCAGGAUGAACGCUGGCGGCGUGCAUAACACAUUCAAGUCGAACGGAGUUAUUUGGAUUAAUCCUUCGGGAAGCGUCCGGAUAACUUAGUGGCGGACGGGUGAGUAACGCGUGAGCAACCUGCCCCCGUGUGUGGAAUAACGUCUGGAAACGGACGCUAAUACCGCAUAACGCAUGGAGAUCGCAUGGUCACUAUGCCAAAGAUUUAUUGCACAGGGAUGGGCUCGCGUCCGAUUAGAUAGUUGGCGGGGUAACGGCCCACCAAGUCGACGAUCGGUAGCCGGACUGAGAGGUUGAACGGCCACAUUGGAACUGAGAAACGGUCCAGACUCCUACGGGAGGCAGCAGUGGGGAAUAUUGGGCAAUGGGCGAAAGCCUGACCCAGCGACGCCGCGUGAAGGAAGACGGUCUUCGGAUUGUAAACUUCUUUUAUAAGGGACGAAGCAUGACGGUACCUUAUGAAUAAGCCACGGCUAACUACGUGCCAGCAGCCGCGGUAAUACGUAGGUGGCGAGCGUUAUCCGGAUUUACUGGGUGUAAAGGGCGUGUAGGCGGAGAUGCAAGUUGGGAGUGAAAUCCCGGGGCUCAACCCCGGAACUGCUCUCAAAACUGUAUCCCUUGAGUAUCGGAGAGGCAAGCGGAAUUCCUAGUGUAGCGGUGAAAUGCGUAGAUAUUAGGAGGAACACCAGUGGCGAAGGCGGCUUGCUGGACGACAACUGACGCUGAGGCGCGAAAGCGUGGGGAGCAAACAGGAUUAGAUACCCUGGUAGUCCACGCUGUAAACGAUGAAUGCUAGGUGUAGGAGGUAUCGACCCCUUCUGUGCCGGAGUUAACACAAUAAGCAUUCCGCCUGGGGAGUACGGCCGCAAGGUUGAAACUCAAAGGAAUUGACGGGGGCCCGCACAAGCGGCGGAGCAUGCGGAUUAAUUCGAUGCAACGCGAAGAACCUUACCAAGGCUUGACAUGAACCGGAAAGACCUGGAAACAGGUCCCCCACUUGUGGCCGGUUUACAGGUGGUGCAUGGUUGUCGUCAGCUCGUGUCGUGAGAUGUUGGGUUAAGUCCCGCAACGAGCGCAACCCUCGUUCUAUGUUGCCAGCGGGUUAUGCCGGGGACUCAUAGGAGACUGCCGGGGUCAACUCGGAGGAAGGUGGGGACGACGUCAAAUCAUCAUGCCCCUUAUGUCUUGGGCUUCACGCAUGCUACAAUGGCCGGUACAAAGGGUUGCGAUACUGUGAGGUGGAGCUAAUCCCAAAAAGCCGGUCUCAGUUCGGAUUGAGGUCUGCAACUCGACCUCAUGAAGUUGGAGUCGCUAGUAAUCGCAGAUCAGCAACGCUGCGGUGAAUACGUUCCCGGGCCUUGCACACACCGCCCGUCA
rnacentral:rRNA from 1 species